rnacentral:snRNA from 1 species
UUAUUUAUCUGGCAGGGGAGACACCUUGAUCAUGAAGGAGGCUUUCCCAGGGUGAGGCUCAACCACCGCUCUCCCGUUAUGUUGACUCUUGAGAUUUCCCCCAAAUAUGGGAAACUUGACUGCAUAAUUUGUGAUAGUGGGGGAAUGGGGGCACACUUUCCCCAC